rnacentral:rRNA from 1 species
GAUGAACGCUGGCGGCGUGCCUAAUACAUGCAAGUCGAGCGAACAGACGAGGAGCUUGCUCCUCUGACGUUAGCGGCGGACGGGUGAGUAACACGUGGAUAACCUACCUAUAAGACUGGGAUAACUUCGGGAAACCGGAGCUAAUACCGGAUAAUAUAUUGAACCGCAUGGUUCAAUAGUGAAAGACGGUUUUGCUGUCACUUAUAGAUGGAUCCGCGCCGCAUUAGCUAGUUGGUAAGGUAACGGCUUACCAAGGCGACGAUGCGUAGCCGGCCUGAGAGAGUGAUCGGCCACACUGGAACUGAGACACGGUCCAGACUCCUACGAGAGGCAGAAGUAGGGAAUCUUCCGCAAUGGGCGAAAGCCUGACGGAGCAACGCCGCGUGAGUGAUGAAGGUCUUCGGAUCGUAAAACUCUGUUAUUAGGGAAGAACAAAUGUGUAAGUAACUAUGCACGUCUUGACGGUACCUAAUCAGAAAGCCACGGCUAACUACGUG